rfam:Oryza sativa Japonica Group DNA, chromosome 12, cultivar: Nipponbare, complete sequence.
AAUAAACUCUGGAUUUCUAUGUUCAAUGUUUGACCGUUCAUCUUAUUUAAAAAAAUUAUAAAAAAAUUAAAAGGAUAAGUCACGCAUAAAGUAUUAAUCAUGAUUUAUCAUCUAACAAUAAAAAUAAUAAUUAUAAAAAAAUUCAUAUAAGACGGAUAGUUAAACGUUGGAUACGAAAAUCUAGGAUUUGUCUUUUU